AGGAAGGGGAGAAGUGCUUGGGACAGACAGUGCCUGGGAGAGAAGCCACAGUGGAGUAGAGCUAACUCCUGUGGUGGGUCUCUGAAGCAAGAGGCCAGGUGCUCUAGAAAGAGCUGGCUGAAACUGGGGAACUGCAAAGAGCAGGAUCACCAGAGACGCCUGGGACAGGUGUCUGUGAAACCCAAAGACAAAAGGUUUGCUCAUCAUUAUGAUCCAAUGACGGAUGCACCAUCGGGCUGAAGACUGUAUCAGAGAAGGGGAACUGAAAUCACUUCAUCCACCUGCUGAGCUAUUCUAACCAUUGACAGCAAGAUCUCAGACAAGAUACUGAAGGCACAAUGUGUCCAGAUCUCAUACUGAUUCAGAAGCCGUUUCAAGAAGCACAUAACCUUACUCCUGUUCAAGUGACUGUGGUUUGACACCUCCGUUUCCUACUUUGGCAUCAACACCUCUUUUUGCCUUUCCUCCUCUGCUUGCCCAAAGCAACAGCCAUUUCGCAGCACAUGUUUCUCAGAACUGAUCCCACUUCCUGGCUCUGACAACAAGGGCCAGCCUUUCAGACUCUGCAAAGGGCAAAUGGCAAGCGAGCAGCUGUUGGCACCUCAUGCACCAAGGAGUGGAGCUGGCACCGUGCUGGGGCCAGAGCAAUAUGCAAAGACAUGGGAAGGGAGACAAACAUCACAUCAUGCCCACAGUUUUCCUAAGGCUUAGCAUCUGAGAAGGUCUAGAACAAGGGUGGCCAAACCGUGGGUCAAAACCGCAUGCGGAUCUUUUACAGAUAAAGUGUGGCUCUCAGAACCCCACCCCCAUUCUUCACCUAUCAGACUGCAGAGGACGGGGUAUGGGGGAGAAGCUCGGGACCUCUGCCUUGCAGCGGAGUGGUGGGGUAGGGGCUUCUGCCCAGCAGGGAGGGGUGUUUUGGGGUUACAGCCCCAUGGGGUGUGGCAGCCGGGGCUCGAGCCUUCAGCAGGAGCAGUGCUGAAGCCCUGAGCCCUGGCAAGCGCCUCCUGCAGGGCUGAAGCCCUGAGCCCCGGCAGGUGUGCCCUGGCUCUCAAACUUUGGAAGAUUGUCAGA